rnacentral:rRNA from 1 species
CCUACGGGUGGCUGCAGCCGAGAAUAUUCCGCAAUGGGCGCAAGCCUGACGGAGCGACGUCGCGUGACUGAUGAAGCCCUUCGGGGCGUAAAGGUCUUUUAUGAGGGAAGAAAUUUUUGACAUUACCUCAUGAAUAAGGGGCUCCUAAUCUCGUGCCAGCAGGAGCGGUAAUACGAGAGCCCCAAGCGUUAUCCGGAAUUACUGGGCGUAAAGGGUGUGUAGGCGGUCUGUUUAGUCCUCUGUUAAAGCCCCGGGCUCAACCCGGGAACUGCGGAGGAAACGGGCAGACUCGAGGGUGCGAGAGGUGUACAGAACUCAUGGUGUAGGGGUGAAAUCCGUUGAUAUCAUGGGGAAUACCAAAUGCGAAGGCAGUACACUGGCGCACUCCUGACGCUGAGACACGAAAGCGUGGGUAGCGAAUGGGAUUAGAUACCCUGGUA